CCAAAUAUUUGGGUACCGUCUUCCCCAGUGAAGUUGACACAAAAUUAACCAUCACAGCUGCCUUCCUGUGGGCCUCAUGUUAUAUGAGAACAGUAUUGGGUGUACACUUAAAGCGUUCUGGGAAUAUGAAUCCCUUCUGCACCCUGGAAUCACCAGUCCAGCCAUGCAUGGAGCUGGGGAAAGCAGGCCCUGAAUUGUCUAGAGAGACUUGGUGGAGGAGGCCACGGCCCGCCUUGUCCCUGCCGGGUCCCGGCCAGGUGUGUGUGUGCCCCAGCUCGACUCUCGGUGGUCUCCAGGCUGCAGCAGAAGGAAUACCUUGGUAUUUGUUUCAUUUUAGUGUCCAUCCUUACCCUUCUGGUCUGGUAGAGCCUAUGGUUAUUCUUGGAUUCCACAUACAUGAAAAGCGAAGAUUUUUCUUUGUUUUUAUGCUUAAGCUAACUUCAGUUCUGCUUUCCCACAAAA
rnacentral:lncRNA from 1 species